UAGAUUCAUUGACAUAUAUUCAAGUAAUCUCUUAAAAUGGAGAUGCUGCGCCAAGAAUGGUCGGGAUAGCUCAGCUGGUAGAGCAGAGGACUGAAAAUCCUCGUGUCACCAGUUCAAAUCUGGUUCCUGGCACAUGAUUAAUUUGUGUAUUAGUAUCUAUUCCCAAAAUUCAUAAAAAUGAAUUUUGGGAAUAGAUACAUAUUUGUUAGUGGUUUAGAU